UGCGCAGGCGGUCUGCUAAGAGAGGUGUGAAAUCCCCGGGCUUAACCUGGGAACUGCGCUUCUAACUGGCAGGCUUGAGUGUGGCAGAGGGGGGUGGAAUUCCACGUGUAGCAGUGAAAUGCGUAGAGAUGUGGAGGAACACCGAUGGCGAAGGCAGCCCCCUGGGCUAACACUGACGCUCAUGCACGAAAGCGUGGGGAGCAAACAGGAUUAGAUACCCUGGUAGUCCACGCCCUAAACUAUGUCAACUGGUUGUCGGGGAAGCAAUUCCUUGGUAACGAAGCUAACGCGUGAAGUUGACCGCCUGGGGAGUACGGCCGCAAGGUUAAA
rnacentral:rRNA from 1 species